CAGGUAAUGAUCUUCUGGUCCAAGGGGUCAGGCAAGUCUCUUUCUGGUCCCCACCCUGGCUACGCCUGGCCAAGCCUGCCGGGCAGCACAGGCUGAGGUUGCCAUCCUGACUCCUGAUGCCAUCCCUGUCUUCUCCAGGCUGUGUGCUGGGGCACGACUGUCGUGACAAAUUCCUGCCUUUUGGCCCCAGUGAGUUAUUCUGAUCGGUCAACCCAUGGGUGAGUAAUGGAGUAUUGUAUUGUAUGGAGGGGUGCAUCAGCCAUCUGAGAGUACCAGAUCCCAUCUUGUCCCGUCCAAGGUUGCCCGCCCCCAGCCUAUGAAUCUGCUCCUAAUGCUGUUCCCCCACUCUCUUCCCUCCUCUUGGUGCCCCAGAUGGGUGGCCAAGCCCUCCUUUGUGAAGCCGUAAAUCUACACCUGCCUGAGGUCUGAGAAGGCCCACACGGCCUAGUUGAAUGCAAAUUUGGCCCUGGAGCCCAGAGCUCGGUGGAAGGAUGGGCAAGUGUGGUGUGGAGGGAAUGGAAGGGAAGGGAAAGGAAGUGAAGAGAAGGACUUCCGUGUCUCUUUACUCCAAAAACUGGGCCAGAAUUACCCAGGCCUUAGUUUCCCUCUGAACACAGGCAUGUUAGAGAAUACCAGUCCGCUCUCAGCACAGUAGACACAGUGUGAGGGGAAGGGCACUGGAGAACCUAGUGAGAGGGUUGGCAAGACUGUUCCAUGACUCGCUAGGCCUGCCACAUCCCCAGUGGUUCUGCCGACCCUGCAGUGGCCUCCGUGCCUAGACUGAGGACUUUCUAUCCCACUGCCCUUCUAGGCUGCCAGUGGCCUGAACCUCUUCCCCAAUGCCCGUGGAAGAGAGACCAGAGUUAUAGCUACUAGGGAACUGAGACCCCAGAGCUGCUGGGCUGAGACAUUCAACUUCCUCUUCCUGCCCCCAGGGGUUGGGGCCAUGAGGCCAUAUGGUGAGGGGGGAGGGAAGAGGCAGGCGAUAUCUGCUUAAGCUAAUGGCCUAGAAAAGCGAUGUCUCAGGUUGAGCAAACACCGAAGGCACUGGGGUGGGGAGAAAAAAACAACCUAGGGUAUGACUUGGAAACACCCCAAUUAGAAGUUAAUUUCCAGCCCUUCUGUUCCUGGAGGCCUGGGCUUGCUCCAGUCUUACUGUCCUCUAUUGACAAAUAUUCAUUGAGCGUCAUGAUUGCUGACCUGGCCUCAUUAUUGGCCUCCCCCAGGAUGGCUAGGGUCAGGUCUCUACUGACUAUCCAAGCUGCAUGGCCCCACAGUUGGAUAACCCUAAAUCCCUUGACACUAGCAUGAACACUGACCCUUAUGCCUCAAUCUGCACCCCAUCUCUAAGCCUGUGCAUGCUCAAUAGUGCCAUGUGGAGCUGCUGUCCUGAGCCCCGACUCUCUAGGCCCCUUUGUCUGUCUGAUGAGCCGGAUCCCUCUGUUUGCCCAAUCUUAGCCAUCUUAGGUCUUCACAGGUCCCCAUUCUGGCUCCAGGUUUUUCAUUCCUCCACCACCCACAGGCCCCCUGCUGUAAGUUCCCAGCUGCACCCACUUGUCAUGCAGUCCUAGGAUCUCCAUCAGCCCUAGACAGGUGCAGGGCCUAGCUUGAGGGGACACCCAUGAUUACAGACAAGCCACACACCAUUGACACCAACAGGCAACACACACAAGUUGGAUGGAUCCUUAAUGAAAGCAAGGUCCAGUUGGAAAUGGUGAGCAGAUGGACCACAGGGAAACUGCAGCCAGGUGAAGAAGCAACGUGCAAUGGCCAGGGUGGCCUGGGUUCUUCAUGCUGUGCUCGUAGUGUCUGCCCGUCCUCUGCCCCUCACAAGACCCCCUCAAGGGCCAGCCCAGCCCUAGACCCCCUCAGACAGAAAUCCAGCUCUGGCUAUUUGGCAUCUCUAUGGCCUACUUUCCAGUCAGGGGAAAGAUGGGGGCUCCAUGGCCACUUGUGUCUUGCCCUGCUUCUGGAUCCCAGCCUGUGGCCUAGACUUAGGAUGUCAUUGUCUCAGGCAUUUCCAGCCAGGGCCUUGGUGACACAGAAAUGAGACCACAUAUCCUGGAGCCCACCAGCCCACCAGCCCACCUUCCUGGCUCAACACAAACCAUCAAUCUCAUCCAGAGGGAUUUGCCCAAAGAUCUGCAGGUAAGGCCGGUAGAGCACACGGCGGAAAAUCCACUCCAGACGGCCGUCGUGGGGGUGCAGCAGGGCCUGAGUCGUCACACCGUAGGCCACAAGCCACACGCUCAGGAAAAAGAGGAAGAAGAAGACAUCCUUCAUCUGCAGGGGGAUGAGGGUCACAGUCACGGAUGGACUGGAUGGGAACUCACCUCAAGGAGUCAGAGGGACUCAUUUUCCUCCAUAUGGGAGUCCAGAGAGCUUACCCUCACCUAGGGCUGGAGUUCCUGGGUUCUCACCUCAGCCAAGGAAUAGGGUGUCAGGGUUCUCACCACCACCUUGGUUGGGGUUUCAGUACUUACCCCCAUCCAGGGUUGGAGGUCCCAGGAUUCUCACCACUACCAGGAUUGGGAUAUCACAGGGCUCAUCACCACUCAAGGUCAAGGUCCAAGGGGGCUCACCCCUAACAUAAGUUAGGGUUCCGGGGGCUCACCUCCACCCAGGGCUAGGGUCCUAUCUACCCAAACCUGGAGGUAUAGGGGUCACCCCUUUAGUUGGACACAGUGGUAGCUCACUCUCAUCCAGAGUUAAAGUCCAGGGCCCUUACCAUUCGAGUCAGUGUUCUUUUGGGCUCCUCAGCUAUCCAGAACUGGGGUCCCAGGGGACUCACCCUCAAUAGGUUUAGGGUCCCGAGGACUCACCAUCCACUGGGUCAAAAUGCCCCAUCUAUCCAAGGCUGGGGGCCCAGUGCCUCACCCCCCUCAAGGGUCAGGGUCCCACAGACCCACCAUCCGCUCUACAAUGAUGAUCUUAGGACCCAGCUGCUUGUGAAUGGCAAAGAUGUGGAUGAGCCGAAGUGUGAACACCAUGAAAUCAAUGGCCAGAACAGUGCGUCCAGCCUCAAACACCGAGGGCAGCAUCCUGGAGAGAGACAAAGGCUAGGUAGGGCUGUUGGUACCCACAGAGGGCCAGAGGCUUUCCCCAAGACACAAUAUGCUAGCUAAAUGGCCAAAAGGCAGGUUCCAGGACCAUGCUAGGAUUUCAGAGAGCUGAGUGGGUCCCCUAGGGCCUGCCCACCAGCCCAUCUGAGGCUACAGACCUACAGGUGACACCAACAAUGAACAGGAAGAUGGCCACCAUGUCACACUUGUUCCAGUUGUCCUCUACAUACAGAGUGAACUUCUUCACCAAGUGUGUGUCCUCAUCUGUAAAGAAGCCCUGACAGAGGGAGGAAGUCUGGUUAUGGCAGCCAGGUCCACCUUGCUGAGACCAGGGUAGAAUCUGCAUGUGUCAGGGCUCAGUUUGUCAAGCUGAUCAGAACUAAUUGGUGACUAGGACCCAGUGUAUGGCUAGGACUGGGAGUAUCAGUUGAAGAGAUUUCAGGACUAAGUCUGGGACAAAAAGUGAGGUCAAGCUGAAUCUGGAGUCAGGACUGUCUGUGACUAAAACUCAGGGUCAAUUUACAUUGCAUGUCUGGACUUAGCCAGUGACUCAGGUCAGGGUUCAGACUCUGACUAGGGAAUCAUGUUCAUGACCAAGCUGGAACAGGGACCGAAGCUCAGGAUGGAGCUGAAAUCAGCUCUGUUUGUGAUCGUGAUCAGGGCUCUGACUGUGACCAACAUCAAGACUCUGUGAUGACCCUUGAUCAAGAUAAGGGCUUGGUCUGGAGCUGGGAUUGGGGCUCAGUCUGUGACCAGGACCAUGAUGCAGUAGACUGGGUUGACAAGAAGGCCACACAGUGGUCUUGUUCUAUAGAAGAAAAGUUUUAGCCGUCCCCCCCUCCCAGAGCAGGCCCCACCUGGAGCUACAUCUAACAUAGCCUGAGUUGCAGAGCCCAGGAGUAGGCCAUGCUGUCCACUGACCUGUCGGAUUUCCUCCAGGACCAGUGUGAACACCCAGAAAUAGAGGGUAACCUCAGACCCAGAUGGCCCCUGGGGAGGUGGCUUGAAGUCUACCAGAAGGACAUAGGUGAACAGGAAGAGGAAUGCAAAGUACAUGACCACAUUCCCCAGGAACACAGUCACAGGAGCUCCCCAGAACUUCCUCCACCGUGUGAGCAGGAAGGCGGCCUGUGGGCCUAGAUCGCCUGGAGCCCUUGGUGUCUCUGUCAGCUUCUCCAAUCUGUGUGGGUAUGGAGGAGGUCACCAUGGUGAAGAGGCACCUAACCACGGUACCCGCAAGGGAGCAUGCCUCUGUCUACCUGUGUCUAGCCACUGGCCACUGCUGAGUGAUAGUCCUUACUCUCUCCAUCCUUCCCAGCCUCCUCCAUUCUUUUUAAACUUCAUGCUCCCCAGCCUCUAUCAUUCUGGGCCUCACUCUGUCCCUUCUAUAGUCCCCUCCGUUUUUCCUACCCUCUGUCUUUCUGGGCCCAUUCUGUCUUCCCCACUUUCCUUGCUCCUCCUAUCUUUCCUCACUCCAUCCUUCCUGGCCCCCUCUAUCCAUUUCAUCACCCUGCCACCCCUUACUGGCCGCCCUGGUUGCACAGAAAGCUCUUUUCCACAUCCAAGCUGUCCAGCUCCUGCAGAUCUUCCAGGUCCAUCCUCUGCGGGACAUCCUCACUGCAACACAGGGAAGGAUAUCCGAAGCACACAGAGAAGGAAGUACUAGGCCCACCGAGAAGAAGGAGGACUCACAUAGUCAACUGGACAUUGGGCUAUGAGAAGUGGGAACAGUGAGAGACUCUGGCACCUGCAUAAACCGACCUGAAGGUGAUGAGGGGAGCAGAAGGAGAGACCUUCAACCUUCGACUCACCCAGGGCCAGCUGUUCAUACUUGGCCUCACGCAUGGUCCGGGCCACCUCUGCUUCUUUCUCCAGGGUUUCACUGUGUAUCCCUUGCUGUCCUGGACCUCACUCUGUAGACCAGCCUGGCCUGGGACUCACAGAGAUCUGCCUGCCUCUGCUUCCCAAGUGCUGGGAUUAAAGGCAUGAGCUAUCAUCACCCUGCUCAAACAUUGUACCAAUUGAGCCACAUCCUCACCCCCAGGUGCCCCAGGUCCUCUUGGAGUGGCCCCUUACUCAGGUAUGCCCCACCCUUUCCCCAACACUGCCUCUCCCAGCUUCCAGCCUGUGUUCUAGGCCAGCCCCACUGCCCCAACAAGCCUGGGUUGAAAUCCAACAUCUCCAUCAGUGUCCAAGUGGACAGACCCACAGUAUAUCUGCACAGUAAAUGUUAGAACUCAGCCUUGGAAAGUCAGGACUUCCUGGCUCUGGCUGCCAUGGGGAUGGGUCUGUGGGACAUUGCGCUUCAUGAGGAAAACUGGGUACAAACAAUAUAUGUUGUAAUUCCGUUCAUAUACAGUGGCCCCAAAGCUCACAUCCAUAGACAAAAAGCAGGUAGAGGACCAGGACCUGGGGACAAGGUGAAGUUGCUAAGGCUUUUUGGGAGGGAGUAAUAGAAACAUUCCAGAAUGAGUGCUGGUUACAAUGCCCUGAGGCUAGAUUCUAAGCCUCUGAUAGAAAGGCCUCGAGAAUUUGUGAGUCAUCUUUCCUACCUGGGAAGGGCUGACAGGCAUCCACUGUGAACACCGCUGAAUCCUGCUGCCUCUGAGGGCAGGUCUACUUGGCUCACCUUUCACAAGUGCCUUGAGGAUGACAGUGUCCAGGUCCUCGGAACCCUCCUGCUCGA